UUCUUCUCCCAAAUCGCAUCAACAGUGGACGAACCCCCCCCCCCCCCCCCUCUCUGGAACAGACGGCUAGGGAUCAGCAUUCGUGGGUUUGGUUGACCGACAUGGAACAGGCAAAGUAAAUUAACAAUCCGAGCAUUCCAAGGUCCUUAGGUACUGGAAACACAGGAACUUGCUGGCUGGAGGGCGAGAGUGGUCAUGGUUACAUUAAUGAACUUAGUUAUCAGACAAUUAUUUAUUGAGAUUGUUGGAUAGUAUUUACAGUAUGAUACAUUAAUGCUUCCGCUGAACUUAUGGCUU